CUGCACUACCAGCACAACUUUUUGUCUUGGGCACGCACUUCAGCGCAGCGCUACAAAUUAAUCUUUGAGGUUUAUUACGAGCUGCUCUGUAGCCACAGAAGUCCUCAGGCUUCUUGCUGAAAUUGCACCCAGACAUCCCUUUCUGCAAGGCGAGGGAGAAAGGAGGUCCACAGGAGUUCAUGUUAACAAUGACUCUAAAUGCCCAUUUCCCAC